rnacentral:rRNA from 1 species
UAAGCGCAUGUGGUGGAUGCCUUGGCGGCAUAAGGCGAUGAAGGACGUAGUAGUCUGCGAUAAGCUUCGGUAAGCUGACAAACAAGCUUUGACCCGGAGAUUUCCGAAUGGGAAAACCCACUCUACAUAAGUAGAGUAUCUCCAUCCGAAUACAUAGGAUGGUAGAAGCAAACCUGGAGAACUGAAACAUCUUAGUAACCAGAGGAAAAGAAAUCAA